CAGCUCUUCGUCUCCUGUGUGGUUGAUUGUUGGACUGGUUUGUGGAGUCUCUCUCAUUAUUAUUCUCCUGCUCUUGUUGUAUCGCUGCAGAAGAACCAACAGUGCUUCUAACGAGCAGACGCUCAAUCAGGAUGAAGAUCAGCAGCAAGUGUACUCCUCUCUUCUUCAUGAUGAUCAUUUUGUGUAUGAGACAGUCAGAAGAUGUGAAAACACUGAAAAUGGUCCAGCAGAAGGUGAUUACACCAAUGUCACAUCUGUGAUUCAGCUCAAAGUCAUGAACAAGACAAGGCAGCGUGGUGACCCAGAGGACAGACUACAAUAACGUCAAUCCAAAUUCAGCCUCAGUUCUAAAAUCUUAACAGCAGCUCUUUAGCUGUUUUUCUCUUUAAAGUCUCUUAAAAAGUUAACGUCACUUUGAGUGAAAAGGAGAAUAACAGAAUAUCAUCUGCAUGCAAACCGAUUUCAUGUUCAGUGUCUGCAUCAUAAAUUCCUUUGAUUUUAUUGUUUUUCCUUAUUGCUACAGCAAGUAGUACAAUAAAAAGAGCAAACAGCAACAACAGCUAUUCUAAACCCAACAGUUUCUCCUGUUGGGUUUAGAAUAGCUGCGAUGG
ensembl:lncRNA